AAAAAAAAACAAGAAAGUCCAGUUGCCUCUUGAAAAAAAGCACCUUUGGAACAAAGACUUCCUCCUCUCCUUCAAGGAACCUGCGCACCGAUGUCUCUUCUCCUAUGAGGGGAAACUUACCCCACUGACUAGUUGGUUUUAACAGAGAUCGAAGAACUGGUUUCGCUAACCUGGGGACUAACAAUCAAAUGGCAAACAUCACAACCACGUGGAAAGAGAAGCUUUCUAAUCAAUUCCAUUAAGGCCAUAUCCUGUUCACACAAAGAUUCCCACACUCAUUCUCAAGGUUAAGAAUCAGAUGAUUGAUGGGCAGCAGCAGGGAGGUAAUAUACCUAUGGACAAUAGGCUGGGACAAACGGACCUCUGGAAGUGAUUAAUGCCGAUCAUUUAAUGCAUUGAUGAAGGAGGAAAGGAUCCCAUCUCUUGGUCAAACUGGAAACCAAGCACUUCUUCAAAUCUGAAUACAGGUCAUCUCAACAUCUGUUUUUGUUCAUUUAUGCAUGCAAUUCUUCAAUACUUAAGGUGUUUCCCCAUGUUUUCAUCCUCGUGCAAUAUUCAUUUUUGUCUUCCAAUUUUAUAUACCUAUCAAAUAUACCCUUAAAUAUUUCAGAAAUCAAACAAUCUCUUGAUUAGAAAAAGCAAAUAUCACUGAAAACUAGUUGAUUUCUGAAUUGAACUGCAAGCUAUUUGUCUUCUUGACACAGAUUAAAAGACUUUCUUUCAGAA